rfam:Mesitornis unicolor contig21813, whole genome shotgun sequence.
CAAAUGGUGGUAUUUACCACCACUUAAAAAUAAAAAGUAUAUCAUU